rnacentral:rRNA from 1 species
UAUACAUGCUAGUCGAACGGGCCUNGGUAGCAAUACCCAGGUUAGUGGCGCACGGGUGCGUAACGCGUAUGCAACCUACCUUUUAUUGGGGGAUAGCCCGUCGAAAGACGGAUUAAUACCGCAUACCACUCUUUGAGGGCAUCUGAAGAGAGUGAAAGCUGAGGCGAUAAAAGAUGGGCAUGCGUGACAUUAGCUAGUUGGUUGAGGUAACGGCUCACCAAGGCGACGAUGUCUAGGGGUUCUGAGAGGAUGAUCCCCCACACUGGUACUGAGAUACGGACCAGACUCCUACGGGAGGCAGCAGUAGGGAAUAUUGGGCAAUGGAGGCAACUCUGACCCAGCCAUGCCGCGUGCAGGAUGAAGGCCUUCUGGGUUGUAAACUGCUUUUAUCUAGGAAGAAAAAACUCCUGCGGGAGGAACUGACGGUACUAGGUGAAUAAGCACCGGCUAACUCCGUGCCAGCAGCCGCGGUAAUACGGAGGGUGCAAGCGUUGUCCGGAUUUAUUGGGUUUAAAGGGUGCGUAGGCGGCCUUAUAAGUCAGUGGUGAAAGCCCACAGCUCAACUGUGGAACUGCCAUUGAUACUGUAAGGCUUGAGUACAGACGAGGUAGGCGGAAUUGAUGGUGUAGCGGUGAAAUGCAUAGAUACCAUCAAGAACACCGAUUGCGAAGGCAGCUUACUAGGCUGUAACUGACGCUGAGGCACGAAAGCGUGGGGAGCGAACAGGAUUAGAUACCCUGGUAGUCCACGCUGUAAACGAUGAUUACUCGAUGUUGGCGAUACACGGCCAGCGUCUUAGCGAAAGCGUNAAGUAAUCCACCUGGGGAGUACGCCCGCAAGGGUGAAACUCAAAGGAAUUGACGGGGCCCCCNNAGCGGNGGAGCAUGUGGUUNAUUCGAUGAUACCCGAGGAACCUUACCUAGGCUANAAUGCC